AGCCAAGUCACGUGAUUUUCAUGUCACAUGACAACGCCCCAGCGCAGCUAAAGCUAACAAAAUGGCAGCGUUCUUACAGUGGAGAAAAUUUGUAUUCUUUGAUAAAGAUGUGGUGAAAGAUCCUGUAGACAAUGGGAAAAACUUUGUUCUUCCAAGCGGAAUAUCGACGUGUGACUCCGGCCGAGGACACAUCGUUCUUGGAGAUAUCCUUCAGCAGCAGCGUUAGCUAACUAAGCUAACGUCAAGCUAGUUCUGACAGAUGAUACUAGCUCAGUGAAAUGUUGAGAAAUGUUGUACCUUUUAUUGUUUCAAGGUUGGCAUGGGAAGUAGCAGCUACAUCGCUGUAAUGAGCGGUGUAGGAAACAGUAUAGUAGACUACGGGCUGUGUUUCGUUUUGCUGUUGUUGUGAACUGCACAUUAAUGAUAGUUGUGAAGAAAGACUACCUGAGUACAUGUUUACUACUUAAACUUGUUAUACAGUGUGGUCCGUGUUGAUCUGCAUCCUGCACACUUAUCCAACAUGAUAAACAGACUAGUCUAAAUACCUGCAGAGUAGCAUGAGUUCAGCUUUAGAAAACUUACCAACAUAAUGACUACUCAAAGAUACACAGAAAUAGUCUCUUGUAGGGCUGGGCGAUAUGGGAAAAAGUUUAUCAUGAUAUAUUUUUUUCAUAUCUGUCAAUAUCGAUAUAUAUCAUGAUAAAUAAAAUGAAAUGGAA